rnacentral:rRNA from 1 species
AUUGAACGCUGGCGGCAGGCCUAACACAUGCAAGUCGAACGGCAGCACAGAAGAGCUUGCUCUUUGGGUGGCGAGUGGCGGACGGGUGAGUAAUGUCUGGGAAACUGCCCGAUGGAGGGGGAUAACUACUGGAAACGGUAGCUAAUACCGCAUAACGUCGCAAGACCAAAGUGGGGGACCUUCGGGCCUCACACCAUCGGAUGUGCCCAGAUGGGAUUAGCUAGUAGGUGGGGUAAUGGCUCACCUAGGCGACGAUCCCUAGCUGGUCUGAGGGGAUGACCAGCCACACUGGAACUGAGCAACGGUCAAGACUCCUACGGGAGGCAGCAGUGGGGAAUAUUGCACAAGGGGCGCAAGCCUGAUGCAGCCAUGCCGCGUGUAUGAAGAAGGCCUUCGGGUUGUAAAGUACUUUCAGCGGGGAGGAAGGCGGUGAGGUUAAUAACCUUGCCGAUUGACGUUACCCGCAGAAGAAGCACCGGCUAACUCCGUGCCAGCCGCCGCCGUAA